rnacentral:rRNA from 1 species
GGGCCCGCACAAGCGGUGGAGCAUGUGGUUCAAUUCGACGCAACGCGAAGAACCUUACCUGGGCUCGAACGGCUGGUCAACGGAGGUGGAAACAUCUUUACCCCGCAAGGGGGUCCAGUCGAGGUGCUGCAUGGCUGUCGUCAGCUCGUGUCGUGAGAUGUUGGGUUAAGUCCCGCAACGAGCGCAACCCUUGUCCUGUGUUGCCAUCAUUCAGUUGGGAACUCGCAGGAGACCGCCAGCGAUAAGUUGGAGGAAGGUGGGGAUGACGUCAAGUCCUCAUGGCCUUUAUGUCCAGGGCUACACACGUGCUACAAUGGCCGGUACAAAGCGUACCAAACCCGCGAGGGGGAGGCAAUCGCAAAAAACCGGUCUCAGUUCGGAUUGCAGGCUGCAACUCGCCUGCAUGAAGCUGGAAUCGCUAGUAAUGGCAGAUCAGCACGCUGCCGUGAAUACGUUCCCGGGCCUU